rnacentral:rRNA from 1 species
GAUGAACGCUAGCGGCAGGCCUAAUACAUGCAAGCUGAACGGUAAAUGUUGUAGCAAUACGAUAUGAGAGUAGCGUAAGGGUGCGUAACACGUAUGCAAUCUACCCGCAACAGGAGGAUAGCUCCCCGAAAGGGGAAUUAAUACUCCAUAAGAUCACGAGAGGGCAUCUGAUUGUGAUUAAACUCCAAGGGGUUGCGGAUGAGCAUGCGUCUGAUUAGUUAGUUGGUGAGGUAACGGCUCACCAAGACGAUGAUCAGUAGGGGAACUGAGAGGUUGAUCCCCCACACUGGCACUGAGAUACGGGCCAGACUCCUACGGGAGGCAGCAGUAGGGAAUAUUGGUCAAUGGGUGAGAGUCUGAACCAGCCAUGCCGCGUGCAGGAAGAAAGCCUUCUGGGUUGUAAACUGCUUUUGCCAGGGGAUAAAAUACCCAUGCGUGGGAAAUUGAAGGUACCUGGUGAAUAAGCCACGGCUAACUACGUGCCAGCAGCCGCGGUAACAC